UGCAUCAGCCGGGAAUCGAACCCUGGCCGCCCGCGUGGCAGGCGAGCAUUCUACCACUGAACCACCGAUGG